GUGAUCAUCCGAAAAAUUUGGAAUAACCGGAAACGCUAAGUAAAACUAGGGUAGAAAACAAAAAUCAAAAUAAGCGUUGUUCUAAAACUGCAGAGAUUAAAGAGGAAAAAUUAGGGUUUUCAAACAAAUUAGGGAAAACCAAGAACCUGGCUGUGAAACUCAUAUACAAUGCCAUAGUAAGUAUAAUCGUACAAAGACCAACAGAGAAAAGCCGGAAAACAGACCCAAGUAAAGCUUCAGUGACCGUCUUUCAUGGAGGAAGCUGCUGGGCUUCAAGCUUUAGAGAGAAAACAGCGAUACAAGGACUCCAUGGUUGCUGGAGGUUGACAGAAGUGAGGGAGGAGUGAGCCGGAGAGGCGAUGGUCAUCAUCGGAGAAGAAGGAGAGAACCAUAAGUUUCUUGAGAGCAAACAUUUAGAGAGAGAGAGA
rnacentral:lncRNA from 1 species